CUGAGUCAUUUCCCAGCGUGACCAGUCGGUAGAUAAUCAAUAAAUAAUCCAAACUGAUAUUAAGAGACUUUUGAGUACAAGAAAGUUAGAGAUUAAACCCAAACUAAGGCAAGAAACAUAAGAACAACCUGCUGGUUGCCAACUUAGUAAGAGAACAAUUACUAUUUAGAGUUUUGUAAUGCAAUGAUAAUUGCAACGCUGAAUUCCUCUCAGAUUCUAUUAUCGAAGUGCGUUUUAGAGCCACCCCCCACCAACUUGCUUCAUCGCAGUUCAUUCAGUUGUCAUGCAGCUUAGGCCAUUCUUUCACUAAAUAAAUUUCAAUUAUACACUCGCUAAAUAGCUCAGUGUUCCACUGAAAUCUUAUGACGUCAUGGGGCAACCGAUCUCAUGUAUACCAGAUACGCUGCUGAGAUCAUAAAAAUUAUUUUAUGUUUAUCAGAGGACCAAACACAAAGGGCACAGUGAAAACCAUUUUCAAAUUUAAAAUUCUUGCGUGUGUGUGGGAAAUUAUUUUUUGUAGCUAUUAUGGUAUCGCACGUUGUGAAAACCAAAUGAUUUGGGCAUGUAUCGAUGGGAGAAGUCAGCAAAAUCAGCAUCACAGUGAACCCUCGAGUGUAGAGUUCGAAAAUAGAAAAAAGGGGCACAAGUUUGGGAGGGGGGAGAAUGAAGAGUUAGGAUCAUUUUUAUCAAAAUCUUGUGAGUGUAAUUAUUUCACUAUUAAUGCAACUGUUCAUUUUUGUGCCAUUUACAGUUUAUAAAAUGUUCGAAGGUGACUGUACUCUUGCAGAAAUCGACGGACGUUUCAUAGGUGCUUACUGCCUCCAUCGUCGCCCUCAUUCCACUAUCUUAACACUUCUAGGUGACUUACGGUCCUAUAAAUCACGACGUUCUUGCUCAUGCAUUGUCCUAAAUUGCCCCCUUAGAUCUCCUUAGGUCCAUAUAUUUUCCCAGCCACCUCGUUUUAGAACGCUUUAAGUGUCUGUAUUUUAUAGAAGAAAGUUGUACAAGAUGGCUAAGUGGUACAUAUGAACUAACGCUGUUUCAGAUGUUGGAAAACGAGUAACAAAUUGAAAGUUUUUAUUUAGUACACAAAAAUGAGGAAACACUUAAAGGCACUUCUGUUGGUAACGUGCAUCCACAACAAGCAUUUUAAAUGGAAUGAUAUGAUGUGGGACAGUUUUAGAUUCAAACUAUUUUAACAUUUAAGAUGAGGAAGUGUGUCAGGUGGAGUUUUCUGUAUUUGGAUUUUGUUUCGUAAUAAUUGAUAUGUGUUUGUGUAGGAGGCGGUUGGGUUGAUGGAUUCAGCCCUGAUACAAAGGAGUCUACACCAGGGCUGGAAGAUGUAGAAGCUCUGAUGACAACCGUUGUUUCACCAAUUGGCAGAAGCAAAACAAAAAAAUGAACAGGAAAUUCUGCGGAAGGAAUUCAAGUCGCAGUACGCUGUAAGGGGCCGGCUGGGACAACGAAUCCAGGAGCUGGAGGAGGAACUGAAAAGAGUGCGUGAAGAAGCAGAACGCACAGCUAAGGCUUCCAAAUCUGAUGACGAACAGGAGGAUGUCCCAAUGGCACAGAGGAAGCUUUUCAUGAGGGUAGAAAUGACGCGAGUGUUAACGGAAAGGAACCAGUACAAGGAACGAUUAAUUUAAAUGCAGGAAGCCGUUCGCUGGACAGAGAUGAUUCGAGCCAGUCUGAAUGAUACCACAUAUGGAAAUUUUGUAGCAACUUGUUCAGCGCAACAGAAGGACCUCAAUGAAAACUUCAGCCUUAUGUUAAUGUGCGCUACAGUGCACCUACGCACCUUGUGAGCCCACCACGAGGAAGCGCUCGCUAAAUGAUCGCAAACGUGGUCUUGACUUCAUGGAUGGCGAACUAUUUGGUGUGCAGCUGGGGUAAAUCUGCAAGGAGUCCGUACACAUGUUGGUGGUAAUUUUGUGGGAGCAAGCGUGUUCUAUAUUACAAGUCGACCCGAGAGCAUGGAAAAGGGUGAAGGGGAAAUUCCAGAGAAGGCAACUGGCAGUGAAGUAGAAAACCUGGAUCAGGAACUCAGGAAAGGAGAGAAUCUGUGUCGAGAAAGCCAGGAGCUAGAGAUACAGCUGUCCAGUUUAGUGUGGAUAUGCACUAGCAUCCAUGCCGCAAGCAAAGCGACUGUCAUCGAUGCCAAUAAUCCAGCAGAUAUCCUCGAGUCUUUCAGUGUUGUGCAGCUCUUACCUCCUCUGUAUUGCAAGUGUGCCAGCUACGUUCAUCGUCAAAAGGCGAUUGUACAGUCUUUCAAGCACUUUUCUCGUAGAAUCCAUUUUAAACCUUCAACACCGUCUGAAAUACGUAACAUGCCGGUAGUUUUAUCACAUGUUGCUGCCUGUCGUACGAGACGUGACAGCUGAGGUCCCAGAAUGUCCCCAUAAAAAACUAUUUGAUUACUUGCACACUAAUGGUUGCUCUCACCUUUGAGUUGUCAUCUCGCACAUCACAUCAGUAGGCUUCGCGAAUCAGCGUUUCCUCUUCUCGAAGCAUUUGCGGAUCUCGUAUUUUUUUAAUUCUCUUCAGGAUGGUCAUUGGAUGACCCUGAAUGUUGGCAAUGUCUGAAAAUCUGCGGCACUUCAAAGUGGUCUUCGGUUUCAGGAGUAGCCAGAAGUCACAGUGGGCCAAAUCUGGUGGAUGGUCCAAUUUCAGUAUUAGUUUUGUGGCCGAAGGUGUUCGGACAGCAGGCGUGUCUGGAGCAGGGCAAUUGUCAUGAUGCAGGACCCCCAAGUGUCAGGCGAAAGUUAAGGUCUUCUCUGAUGAACGGCGUCUUGGAAAAUGAAGUAGAAGAUGCAGAUUCAGGAGACCACGAACCAAACAUUGGAAAGAUUUCGUUUGUAAGCUGUGCGACAGGUAGCAGCCAUCCGACAAGCGAUGUUUCGACCAACAGAUUCUAAGAUUCAGUCAUAUUUGUGAAAAUAUUUUGGUAUUAUCAGAAUUUCUUCAUUUUAGACAACAUAUCAGUUUAUUUUUUGUUCAUAUUUGAGGUUGCUUAGUCAGUAAAGCGACCGACUUGAGAGUUGAGUUUUCACUUUAUUGUCGUGUCCAGAUGUGCUACAGAGCCCACCAGUCUCCUCUCCAUUGGGUUCCGUUAACUCUCCUCACAGGGGUAAAGUAUCAAAAUGGUGACUUGGCCCAAUUCCAUUGCGGAGGUUAAGAAAGAAAUGGAAUCAUACCCCAUUCACAACUUUGCCAUUAUGACUUAACUAAAAUUCACUAUGCUCUGACAUCAUAUGGAAAUAUUUCUUUUUCUCUCGAAGCCGUGUAGCCAUAUCUCCACGUGCGUGGUACAUAGUGGGGGACGAUGGGCAGUUAUUCGCAUGGCAAGUCACUUUUUCAUCAGGUUUGUAAUUGUAAGGUGAUUUCUGGUAGAGUAACCCCUCUGAAUUAUUUUAUGAGAUCAAGUCGUGGUGGAAGUCCCCAUGUCAGCACAGGUGUGAGGACUUUGCUGUUAAUUCUUUCUCAUCCAGCCAGUGGUGGCAGGCUGAUGGUUCUGGAGGGGGUGUCCUUUCCAAAAAAAGGGCUAUGAAAUGGGCAACAAGCCCACAACAGCGAAUGUCAGAGAGCAGAAAUAUGAACGUUAAAGUUGUUAAUGUAACGAUAUCGCCCCUAUGUUUAGUAACAUACAGAUUGAAGAUAAACCAACCCAAUUUGUACCCUUUGGAGAAAGAUUCCUCGUCAUUAAUUUCCGAAACUGGUGCAUUUAGGACACUUUCACAAGGAAUAUGUUAGGAUUUCCAUACAGCUCCCCUGCAGGUGAAAUACGUGACCUAAGACGAAUAGCAAACACGUCUUAAUUUAGUUUCACCGUACGCUACAGCGCCAUCUGUGCCGUGGUAUGGCAACUCGAAGAACCACGCGAUUACCCAUCAUGCACUGCUAGAGAGAACGAAGUGGUUGCAGAUUUGUUGUUGGCUGUUAGUAGAGAACGCAAGGUCAGGUUGUACGUACGUACCACGACCUAUAAAGUGCUCGCCUUGGAAUAAGUUUUGUGUGAUACGCUUGUUGGUGGAUGUGUGAUGUGUGAUGGCAAUACUUCUAUUACCCGAAUGUUUGAUAUUAUGUGCAGUUACUUAAUAAUAGAAUUAAGCGUGUGUAUUUGUGGCUGUAAGCUGGACCCACUUUUCUAGUAAACCUGUCACCAGUGACAUUGGAGCAGAUUGCAAAACGAAGCGCCUCCAACUUGGCAACGCUGCCACGGCGAAGGCCGAAUCAACAUCACACGACAUGAGGCCAGUCCAUUGUCGUCUGUGUGUAUUUCUACUUCUUUCAAACAUGGACCAUCACUAUGGGAUUCAUCUGCUAUUGAAUACGCAAACCGGGACUUGAAAAUAAGAAACUGGGAAGAUAUUGUGGAAAUAUUUGGAGGAGGAGAUUUAUCUACAGUAGAAAAGAAAGAAUUAGAGGCCAGGAUGGGAGGAGACUCCACGGAUUGGGAUCAUGAAUUAUCCUCCAGUCUGCAGUCCGUUACCUCCAACAACCUCCAGGGUGAGUUUGUAUUAUUAUUAUUAUUAUUAUUCCUCUUGGUAAUGUUUAUAAAAAUUGUAAAUGUUACU